UACAGAGGGGGCAAGCGUUAUUCGGAAUUAUUGGGCGUAAAGGGCGCGUAGGCGGCCUGGCAAGUGGAAGGUGAAAUCCCUCGGCUUAACCGAGGAACUGCCUCCCAAACUGCUUGGCUUGAGACCAGGAGAGGUGAGUGGAAUUCCCAGUGUAGCGGUGAAAUGCGUAGAUAUUGGGAGGAACACCAGUGGCGAAGGCGGCUCACUGGACUGGUACUGACGCUGAUGCGCGAAAGCGUGGGAGCAACGGG
rnacentral:rRNA from 1 species